rnacentral:rRNA from 1 species
GGCAACGAUCUUUAGUUGGUCUGAGAGGAUGAUCAGUCCACUACUGGAACUGAGACACGGUCCAGACUCCGUACGGGAGGCCUAGCAGUGGGGGAACUAUUGGGAACAAUGGGCGCAAGCCUGAUCCAGCGACGCCGCGUGAGUGAUGAAGGCCUUAGGGUUGUAAAGCCUCUUUUAGUGGGGAAGAUAAUGACGGUACCCACAGAAAAAGCCCCGGCUAACUUCGUGC